rnacentral:rRNA from 1 species
AGCAGUCGCCGCGGGAAUACAGAGGGUGCAAGCGUUAAUCGGAUUUACUGGGCGUAAAGCGUGCGUAGGUGGCUGUUUAAGUCGGAUGUGAAAGCCCUGGGCUUAACCUGGGAACUGCAUUCGAUACUGGAUAGCUAGAGAUCGGUAGAGGGCAGCGGAAUUCCGGGUGUAGCGGUGAAAUGCGUAGAUAUCCGGAGGAACACCGAUGGCGAAGGCAACUGCCUGGGCCUGAUCUGACACUGAGGCACGAAAGCGUGGGUAGCAAACAGGAUUAGAUACCCGCGUAGUCCUGUCUCUUAUACG